AUUGAACGCUGGCGGCAGGCUUAACACAUGCAAGUCGAGCGGGGAAAGGUAGCUUGCUACCUGACCUAGCGGCGGACGGGUGAGUAAUGCUUAGGAAUCUGCCUAUUAGUGGGGGACAACAUUCCGAAAGGAAUGCUAAUACCGCAUACGCCCUACGGGGGAAAGCAGGGGAUCUUCGGACCUUGCGCUAAUAGAUGAGCCUAAGUCAGAUUAGCUAGUUGGGGGGGUAAAGGCCUACCAAGGCGACGAUCUGUAGCGGGUCUGAGAGGAUGAUCCGCCACACUGGGACUGAGACACGGCCCAGACUCCUACGGGAGGCAGCAGUGGGGAAUAUUGGACAAUGGGCGAAAGCCUGAUCCAGCCAUGCCGCGUGUGUGAAGAAGGCCUUUUGGUUGUAAAGCACUUUAAGCGAGGAGGAGGCUACCGAGAUUAAUACUCUUGGAUAGUGGACGUUACUCGCAGAAUAAGCACCGGCUAACUCUGUGCCAGCAGCCGCAGUAACAC
rnacentral:rRNA from 1 species